UCCGGUUUGUCACCGGCAGUCACCUUAGAGUGCCCAACUGAAUGCUGGCAACUAAGAUCAAGGGUUGCGCUCGUUGCGGGACUUAACCCAACAUCUCACGACACGAGCUGACGACAACCAUGCACCACCUGUCACUCUGUCCCCCGAAGGGGAACGUCCUGUCUCCAGGAUUGUCAGAGGAUGUCAAGACCUGGUAAGGUUCUUCGCGUUGCUUCGAAUUAAACCACAUGCUCCACCGCUUGUGCGGGCCCCCGUCAAUUCCUUUGAGUUUCAGCCUUGCGGCCGUACUCCCCAGGCGGAGUGCUUAAUGCGUUUGCUGCAGCACCGUGAGGCAAAUCCCCUCGACGUCUAGUUGUCAUCGUUUAUGGCGUGGACUAC
rnacentral:misc_RNA from 1 species